UGGGGAAUAUUGGACAAUGGGCGAAAGCCUGAUCCAGCAAUGCCGCGUGAGUGAUGAAGGCCUUAGGGUUGUAAAGCUCUUUUACCCGGGAUGAUAAUGACAGUACCGGGAGAAUAAGCCCCGGCUAACUUCGUGCCAGCAGCCGCGGUAAUACGAAGGGGGCUAGCGUUGCUCGGAAUCACUGGGCGUAAAGGGCGCGUAGGCGGACUCUUAAGUCGGGGGUGAAAGCCCAGGGCUCAACCCUGGAAUUGCCUUCGAUAUUGAGAGUCUUGAGUUCGGAAGAGGUUGGUGGAACUGCGAGUGUGGAGGUGAAAUUCGUAGAUAUUCGCAAGAACACCAGUGGCGAAGGCGGCCAACUGGUCCGAUACUGACGCUGAGGCGCGAAAGCGUGGGGAGCAAAC
rnacentral:rRNA from 1 species